AUUGAACGCUGGCGGCAGGCCUAACACAUGCCAGUCGAGCGGAUGAAGGGAGCUUGCUCCUGGAAUCAGCGGCGGACGGGUGAGUAAUGCCUAGGAAUCUGCCUGGUAGUGGGGGAUAACGUCCGGAAACGGGCGCUAAUACCGCAUACGUCCUGAGGGAGAAAGUGGGGGAUCUUCGGACCUCACGCUAUCAGAUGAGCCUAGGUCGGAUUAGCUAGUUGGUGGGGUAAAGGCCUACCAAGGCGACGAUCCGUAACUGGUUUGAGAGGAUGAUCAGUCACACUGGAACUGAGACACGGUCCAGACUCCUACGGGAGGCAGCAGUGGGGAAUAUUGGACAAUGGGCGAAAGCCUGAUCCAGCCAUGCCGCGUGUGUGAAGAAGGUCUUCGGAUUGUAAAGCACUUUAAGUUGGGAGGAAGGGCAGUAAGUUAAUACCUUGCUGUUUUGACGUUACCAACAGAAUAAGCACCGGCUAACUUCGUG
rnacentral:rRNA from 1 species